rnacentral:tRNA from 1 species
GGAGGCGUGCCCGAAAACCAAGGACUACUUUGAUAGAGUACACCACAGGGGUUAAAAUCCCCUCACCUCCC